AAUAAGCUGCAUUGUACGUAAUGAUAAUUAAGUUUUAACCUUUAAGCUGUAAUAGGGAGUUUUAUAUCGAAACAGAAAUGUCAUGCCUCAUUCAAUGCAAGAGGACGACAGGAAUGGUUCUGCAAACACCCACUUUGAGAAGUGGUGGUUUAAAACUUUCUUGCAAGUUACGGCAAGUGCGGCUUCCUU
rfam:Bacillus sp. MTM 13 65, whole genome shotgun sequence.